rnacentral:rRNA from 1 species
GACGAACGCUGGCGGCGUGCCUAAUACAUGCAAGUAGAACGCACAGUUUAUACCGUAGCUUGCUACACCAUAGACUGUGAGUUGCGAACGGGUGAGUGACGCGUAGGUAACCUGCCUGGUAGCGGGGGAUAACUAUUGGAAACGAUAGCUAUUACCGCAUAAUAUUAAUUAUUGCAUGAUAAUUAAUUGAAAGGUGCAAUUGCACCACUACCAGAUGGACCUGCGUUGUAUUAGCUAGUAGGUGAGGUAACGGCUCACCUAGGCGACGAUACAUAGCCGACCUGAGAGGGUGAUCGGCCACACUGGGACUGAGACACGGCCCAGACUCCUACGGGAGGCAGCAGUAGGGAAUCUUCGGCAAUGGACGAAAGUCUGACCGAGCAACGACGCGUGAGUGAAGAAGGUUGUCGGAUCGUAAAGCUCUGUUGUAAGAGAAGAACGGGUGUGAGAGUGGAAAGUUCACAAUGUGACGGUAUCUUACCAGAAAGGGACGGCUAACUACGUG